rnacentral:rRNA from 1 species
AUACGUAGGUGGCAAGCGUUGUCCGGAUUUACUGGGUGUAAAGGGCGUGUAGGCGGGGAUGCCAGUCAGAUGUGAAAUCCCGCGGCUCAACCGCGGAACUGCAUCUGAAACUGCGUCUCUUGAGUGUCGGAAGGGAAAGUGGAAUUCCUAGUGUAGCGGGGAAAUGCGUAGAUAUUAGGAGGAACACCGGUGGCGAAGGCGACUUUCUGGACGACAACUGACGCUGAGACGCGAAAGCGUGGGGAGCUAACAGGAUUAGAUACCCUGGUAGUCCACGCUGUAAACGAUGAAUACUAGGUGUAGGGGGUAUCGACUCCCCCUGUGCCGCAGCUAACGCAUUAAGUAUUCCACCUGAGUAGUACGGUCGCAAGACUGAAACUCAAAGGAAUUGACGGGG